GCCUGGGUGGCCCAGUCGGUUGAGCGUCUGACUUCAGCUCAGGUCAUGAUCUCACGGUUCGUGAGUUCGAGCCCCGCGUCGGGCU
rnacentral:tRNA from 1 species